UAUGAAAUAAAUAUAAGGUUAAACCUGCCCUAUGAUUAACCAUUAAAUGGCCGCAGUACUUUGACUGUGCUAAGGUAGCAUAAUAAAUUGACUUUUAAUUGGGGCCUUGAAUGAAAGGUAAUAUGGGUGGUUACUGUCUUAGUUUUACUAACAAAAAGUUACUUAAAAGGUGAAAAUUCCUUUAAGAUAUUUUAAGAGACGAGAAGACCCUAGGAGUUUGCUUAAUAUAUUUUGUUGGGGCGACACUACAACACUAAAACUUGUAGAAAAAUGUUAUACGUAAAACGAAAAAUUUUAAUUUUAAUUAAACUACCCUAGGGAUAACAGCAUAAUUUUAUUUUAAGUUUGUGACCUCGAUGUUGGACUAGGGACUUUUAAUAUUAACAAUAUUAAAAAUUUGUUCUGUUCGAACAUUUAUCCCUACAU
rnacentral:rRNA from 1 species